rnacentral:lncRNA from 1 species
CUCAAACAACCCUUAUACUUAGUUUAUGCUUAGCUGAGCAGCUCUUGCAUUAGUUAUAUCUGCAGUGUGAUGAGAGGGUUCAAGGGGAGAGACCCAGCUCACUGGAUGCUUGUCAGAAAGGUGCUUUGGCAACAGCUACGUGUUUCCAUGUGCAGAACAGCAUUGUUUCAUGGCUGGAGAAGAAGACAUCUAAGGUGCAGAACUUCGGCUUCCUGGGUCCCCAGCCCUCGGCACAGUUCCCUCUGCAGUAACAGAAGGAGAAAUAGAGUGGGAAAAAGAAGAGGCAGAAGAAGGAGAAGGAAUGGAGACACAAAGCAGAGAACGAUGCUGAAAACACUGGAAGAGCUGGUGAGGAUGGAGAGAGGAAGAAAUUGGAGAAACAAUCAUGCUUGCUUGGAUCAGAGACCACUUGCUUGUCUGCAGCAGGAAGAAAGUAGCACACUGUCCAGCAGCCUUCCCUGCCUCUGCUCUGCCCCUGGGAUGCCGACAGCUCAUGGAGCUCUACUUUCUGUAAGCAGAACAAUCAGACAACAGCUUCUGAGUAAGUCCUUUGUGGCACAAACAUAUUGGCAGCUCUAUAGGUUGCUUCUUUUAAUCCUCCUGCCAUACAGAGAGGAUAAAAUUCCCGACACAAAUGGCAACUCUGCAGCAAGUAUCUGCCAUAAUUACAGUAAUUAUAUUGUCUUCACACUCUCUUAUGAAUCAGUGACAGUAUGUAUUUAA